rnacentral:rRNA from 1 species
AGAGUUUGAUCAUGGCUCAGAACGUACGCUGGCGGCACGCCUAACACAUGCAAGUCGAACGAAGUAGCAAUACUUAGUGGCGAACGGGUGAGUAUAAUGUGGGUAUCUGCCUUUUGGUUUGGAAUAACACGGGGAAACUUGUGCUAAUACCGGAUAAGCCUUCACAGGGAAAGUUUUAACGCCGAAAGAUGAGCCCGCACUUGAUUAGCUAGUUGGUAAGGUAAUGGCUUACCAAGGCUACGAUCAAUAGCUGAUCUGAGAGGAUGAUCAGCCACAUUGGGACUGAGACACGGCCCAAACUCCUACGGGAGGCAGCAGUGGGGAAUCUUGCACAAUGGGGGAAACCCUGAUGCAGCGAUGCCGCGUGAGUGAAGAAGGCCUUUGGGUUGUAAAGCUCUUUCGUCGGGGAAGAAAAUGACUGUACCCGAAUAAGAAGGUCCGGCUAACUUCGUGCCAGCAGCCGCGGUAAUACGAAGGGACCUAGCGUAGUUCGGAAUUACUGGGCUUAAAGAGUUCGUAGGUGGUUAGAAAAGUUGGUGGUGAAAUCCCAAGGCUUAACCUUGGAACUGCCAUCAAAACUUUUUAACUAGAGUAUGAUAGAGGAAAGUGGAAUUUCUAGUGUAGAGGUGAAAUUCGUAGAUAUUAGAAAGAACACCAAUUGCGAAGGCAACUUUCUGGAUCAUUACUGACACUGAGGAGCGAAAGCAUGGGUAGCGAAGAGGAUUAGAUACCCUCGUAGUCCAUGCUGUAAACGAUGUGUGCUAGACGU